CUCCAGCCUGGGCGACAGAGCGAGACUCCGUCUCAAAAAAAAAAAAAAAAAAAAAAAAAAAAAAAAAUUGACAAAAAAACUCAAGAUAUUUAAUGUGACAAGUAUAUAUAUAUUUAAAAUAAUGUUCUUAAAAUUCCUUAUUGAAAACAAUAUAAAAACAAAAAGAUGUUCAUAGAAACAGAAGGCAUGAAACCAAAUAUCAAAGUUUGAGCAAAUUAAUAUGUGAGGCAACUUUGCUAACAAUGCAUGAUUUUCUUGUUUACAAUCUACUAAAAUAUCCUUAUAUCAACUGAGUGGCAAAACAAGUUUAAUAUCAGUUGUACUUUAGCAUAAACUCAGAAACCUACCGAUAGAGUAUUACUUUCUUUUGAGCUGGUAGUGACCACAGAAAUGUCAGAUCAUUUCUCUGAAUGAAGAAUUUUAUUCAAGUAACACAAAACUUCCAGACACAUUUUCAUAAUAUAUUUAAUCAUUUCUUCAUGUGAUAUUUAUAGAUAAUUUGAAUUUUCUGGUGUAGUUACAUGGAUAUAUUGUAUAGUAGUGAAGUCUGAGCUUUUAGUGUAACCAUCACUUGGAUAAUGUACAUUGUACCCAUUAGGUAAUUUUUCAUCCCUCAGAAUCCUCCCUCCU
rnacentral:lncRNA from 1 species